CUAAUCUAAGCGCUCAAAACGGCACGCAAACACCAACGGUGGUGAGCCAACCUGCCAAUGGAUCCAUUCCAAAGCGAUUCAAAGGUGGGUCCCCUCAGAGGCUGCCUUUCUUCCGUCCCAGGCGGACGAUCCAGCUCGGAUGUCAACCAUUCUUCGUCACCAACCGGACGGACGGCACACGCGCCAGAUCACAGGCGUGUGGAAUCAGGCCAGCGCAGAGACCGUGGCAAUUAGACACGGACGCGGAUCAGCGACCGGGGCCAAAGCGACCCGACCUGCCGCUGCCGGUGGAAACACGCCAGCAAUUGUACAGG
rnacentral:lncRNA from 1 species